CCUACGGGGGGCAGCAGUGAGGAAUAUUGGUCAAUGGCCGGAAGGCUGAACCAGCCAAGCCGCGUGAAGGACGAAGGUGCCAAGCAUUGUAAACUUCUUUUGUCAAGGGACAAAAUCAGGCUCGAGAGCCUGACCGAGGGUACUUGAAGAAAAAGCAUCGGCUAACUCCGUGCCAGCAGCCGCGGUAAUACGGAGGAUGCGAGCGUUAUCCGGAUUUAUUGGGUUUAAAGGGUGCGGAGGGGGACGGGUAAGGUAGCGGGAAAAGGCCGGGGCUCAACCCCGGCAGGCCGUUGAAUGUGGCUGUCUUGAGAGGACGAGAGGUAUGCGGAAUGCGCAGUGUAGCGGUGAAAUGCUUAGAUAUUGCGCAGAACUCCGAUUGCGAAGGCAGCAUACCGGCGGCGAUCUGACGCUGAGGCACGAAAGCGUGGGUAUCGAACAGGAUUAGAUACCCGUGUAGUC
rnacentral:rRNA from 1 species